rnacentral:rRNA from 1 species
AGACCCGAAACCCGGUGAUCUAGCCAUGGGCAGGUUGAAGGUUGGGUAACACUAACUGGAGGACCGAACCGACUAAUGUUGAAAAAUUAGCGGAUGACCUGUGGCUGGGGGUGAAAGGCCAAUCAAACCGGGAGAUAGCUGGUUCUCCCCGAAAGCUAUUUAGGUAGCGCCUCGUGAAUUCAUCUCCGGGGGUAGAGCACUGUUUCGGCUAGGGGGCCAUCCCGGCUUACCAACCCGAUGCAAACUGCGAAUACCGGAGAAUGUUAUCACGGGAGACACACGGCGGGUGCUAACGUCCGUCGUGAAGAGGGAAACAACCCAGACCGCCAGCUAAGGUCCCAAAGUCAUGGUUAAGUGGGAAACGAUGUGGGAAGGCCCAGACAGCCAGGAUGUUGGCUUAGAAGCAGCCAUCAUUUAAAGAAAGCGUAAUAGCUCACUGGUCGAGUCGGCCUGCGCGGAAGAUGUAACGGGGCUAAACCAUGCACCGAAGCUGCGGCAGCGACACUGUGUGUUGUUGGGUAGGGGAGCGUUCUGUAAGCCUGCGAAGGUGGCCUGUGAGGGUUGCUGGAGGUAUCAGAAGUGCGAAUGCUGACAUAAGUAACGAUAAAGCGGGUGAAAAGCCCGCUCGCCGGAAGACCAAGGGUUCCUGUCCAACGUUAAUCGGGGCAGGGUGAGUCGACCCCUAAGGCGAGGCCGAAAGGCGUAGUCGAUGGGAAACGGGUUAAUAUUCCCGUACUUGGUGUUACUGCGAAGGGGGGACGGAGAAGGCUAUGUUGGCCGGGCGACGGUUGUCCCGGUUUAAGCGUGUAGGUGUGUGUUCCAGGUAAAUCCGGUUCACUUUAACACUGAGGCGUGACGACGAGGCACUACGGUGCUGAAGCAACAAAUGCCCUGCUUCCAGGAAAAGCCUCUAAGCAUCAGGUAACAUCAAAUCGUACCCCAAACCGACACAGGUGGUCAGGUAGAGAAUACCAAGGCGCUUGAGAGAACUCGGGUGAAGGAACUAGGCAAAAUGGUGCCGUAACUUCGGGAGAAGGCACGCUGACACGUAGGUGAAGUGAUUUACUCAUGGAGCUGAAGUCAGUCGAAGAUACCAGCUGGCUGCAACUGUUUAUUAAAAACACAGCACUGUGCAAACACGAAAGUGGACGUAUACGGUGUGACGCCUGCCCGGUGCCGGAAGGUUAAUUGAUGGGGUCAGCGCAAGCGAAGCUCCUGAUCGAAGCCCCGGUAAACGGCGGCCGUAACUAUAACGGUCCUAAGGUAGCGAAAUUCCUUGUCGGGUAAGUUCCGACCUGCACGAAUGGCGUAAUGAUGGCCAGGCUGUCUCCACCCGAGACUCAGUGAAAUUGAACUCGCUGUGAAGAUGCAGUGUACCCGCGGCAAGACGGAAAGACCCCGUGAACCUUUACUAUAGCUUGACACUGAACAUUGAGCCUUGAUGUGUAGGAUAGGUGGGAGGCUUUGAAGUGUGGACGCCAGUCUGCAUGGAGCCGACCUUGAAAUACCACCCUUUAAUGUUUGAUGUUCUAACGUGGACCCGUUACCCGGGUUGCGGACAGUGUCUGGUGGGUAGUUUGACUGGGGCGGUCUCCUCCUAAAGAGUAACGGAGGAGCACGAAGGUUGGCUAAUCCUGGUCGGACAUCAGGAGGUUAGUGCAAUGGCAUAAGCCAGCUUGACUGCGAGCGUGACGGCGCGAGCAGGUGCGAAAGCAGGUCAUAGUGAUCCGGUGGUUCUGAAUGGAAGGGCCAUCGCUCAACGGAUAAAAGGUACUCCGGGGAUAACAGGCUGAUACCGCCCAAGAGUUCAUAUCGACGGCGGUGUUUGGCACCUCGAUGUCGGCUCAUCACAUCCUGGGGCUGAAGUAGGUCCCAAGGGUAUGGCUGUUCGCCAUUUAAAGUGGUACGCGAGCUGGGUUUAGAACGUCGUGAGACAGUUCGGUCCCUAUCUGCCGUGGGCGCUGGAGAACUGAGGGGGGCUGCUCCUAGUACGAGAGGACCGGAGUGGACGCAUCACUGGUGUUCGGGUUGUCAUGCCAAUGGCACUGCCCGGUAGCUAAAUGCGGAAGAGAUAAGUGCUGAAAGCAUCUAAGCACGAAACUUGCCCCGAGAUGAGUUCUCCCUGAGACUUAAAGUCUCCUGAAGGAACGUUGAAGACGACGACGUUGAUAGGCCGGGUGUGUAAGCGCAGCGAUGCGUUGAGCUAACCGGUACUAAUGAA